UAAUACGUAGGGGGCGAGCGUUGUCCGGAAUUACUGGGCGUAAAGGGUGCGCAGGCGGUUUUUUAAGUCAGAUGUGAAAUACCCGGGCUUAACCUGGGGGGUGCAUUUGAAACUGGAAGACUUGAGUGCAGGAGAGGAAAGUGGAAUUCCUAGUGUAGCGGUGAAAUGCGUAGAUAUUAGGAGGAACACCAGUGGCGAAGGCGACUUUCUGGACUGUAACUGACGCUGAGGCACGAAAGCGUGGGGAGCAAACAGG
rnacentral:rRNA from 1 species